rnacentral:tRNA from 1 species
GGAUUGUAGCUCAGUGGUAGACUGCUUGCCUGGAAUAUGUGAGGCACUGGGUUCAAUUCUCAGCACCA